UACGUAGGGAGCGAGCGUUGUCCGGAAUUACUGGGUGUAAAGGGUGCGUAGGCGGGGGACCAAGUCAGGUGUGAAAACUAUCGGCUCAACCGAUAGCCUGCAUUUGAAACUGGUUCUCUUGAGUGAAGUAGAGGCAGGCGGAAUUCCCGGUGUAGCGGUGAAAUGCGUAGAGAUCGGGAGGAACACCAGUGGCGAAGGCGGUCUGCUGGGCUUUAACUGACGCUGAGGCACGAAAGCAUGGGUAGCAAACAGGAUUAGAUACCCUGGUAGUCCAUGCCGUAAACGAUGAUUACUAGGUGUGGGUGGUCUGACCCCAUCCGUGCCGGAGUUAACACAAUAAGUAAUCCACCUGGGGAGUACGGCCGCAAGGUUGAA
rnacentral:rRNA from 1 species